UACAGAGGGUGCGAGCGUUGAUCGGAAUUACUGGGCGUAAAGCGCGCGUAGGCGGCUUUGCAAGUCGAGUGUGAAAUCCCCAGGCUUAACCUGGGAACUGCAUUCGAGACUGCAUAGCUAGAGUAUGGGAGAGGGAAGUGGAAUUUCAGGUGUAGCGGUGAAAUGCGUAGAUAUCUGAAGGAACAUCAGUGGCGAAAGCGACUUCCUGGACCAAUACUGACGCUCAUGUGCGAAAGCGUGGGGAGCAAACAGG
rnacentral:rRNA from 1 species